rnacentral:lncRNA from 1 species
GCAAGGGGCGCGGCGCUGUCCGCUGUGCUGAGGCAGGCGCCGGGCCCGGGAGGCGAGGCCGCGCCCGAGGCUCCUCACGGCCCGAUCGCCCGCUGCCGCGGCUCCUGCAGGCAACGGCCGGGUUUAGCUUUGGCGGCGGCGGCGGCGGGGAUGGGGGCGGCCGGGGGAGGAGGGGCCAGGAGCCGCCGCUGGCCGGGAGGGGGAAGCCGCGGCCCCCAGACUCCGGCGCCGCCGGAGAGGAGCCCCGCCCGGGCCACAGGCUCGGCUACCGCCCCGCGCGAGGCCCCGCCUCCCCUUCCUGCCCUCCCCCUCGUGAGAGCCCCGGAGCUCUGCGCUCGCUUCCGUGGCCCCCGGGACAUCCAGCCUGAAGGACAGUGGGGCAGGAAUUUUUCCGGGGCAAGACGCUUCAGCCUGCAAGGCUGACCGCUCCCGAGCCGCUCGCAGGCCCGCAGUUGGGAGGAGAGCAGUCCAGACUACAGAAAGAGCACGGACAGAGGCGUGGAGAGGAGGCAGUCAGCAAGUUCUUGUAACCGGCCCAUUUGGAAUUAGAGACCAUCCUGAUCCUCACCAAUCCCCACAGGAGUCUCCACUCCUCUAGUGGGAAUCCAGAGACUGGAG